rnacentral:rRNA from 1 species
GGAUGCGAGCGUUAUCCGGAUUUAUUGGGUUUAAAGGGUGCGCAGGCGGUUGCUUAGGUCUGAUGUGAAAGCCUUCGGCUUAACCGGAGAAGUGCAUCGGAAACCGGGCGACUUGAGUGCAGAAGAGGAGAGUGGAACUCCAUGUGUAGCGGUGAAAUGCGUAGAUAUAUGGAAGAACACCAGUGGCGAAAGCGGCUCUCUGGUCUGUAACUGACGCUGAGGUUCGAAAGCGUGGGUAGCAAAC